GGAGGUUCAGAAGAAAUAGCACAGAGUGAGGACAGCAGAGGUAAACAUGCCUGCAGAAACCUUUCUCUUGGCAUGCAGAGCAAAUACUAUAAUCCAGGUGUCUCAGCCAAUGAGGCAUUUAAACAGAUACAGAAAAAUCAUUAAAGAGGAUUUCAGAAGGGUAUGCUCACCUGGACAGAUUGCACUCCAUCCUUCCAGUGUCUCCUGAACUGCUCUCCAGGAAUCAUUUUCAUCAGAAUCACUGGGGCAUUUAUGAUUCAAAAAUGCUUUGAAUGUGGCAGUGCCUGAAUCUACAGUUUUCCAUGUGAUUUUUAGAUAUACUAAUGUUUGAGAACCACUGCUGUCAACAGCAUAAUUCUGUAAGAUUCAAAAUACUAGUUGUAAAGAGUUAAUUUAGCUGAAAUGCAAAUUUUGAUUUGACCUGCUCCCAAUUCCAGACCUCUGAAAUCAGUAAUGACAAGAACCUUUGGGCAUUUUCAGGCUCAGUCUUCAGAGGCUUAUCCUAUAGAGAAGAGGAAUAAUUUCUGUAGCCACAUCCCAAAGUAGGGGAGAUGGGCCACUAGGUACACAGCUGCCUUUGUGAAGAAGCAGAGUAGGAAAUAUCUACCCUGCAAUGAUUGGGGCACAGGAAAGCUGGAAUCCACCUUAUUACAACAGCUGGUUAAUGUCAUACUGUGAACUCAUUGAGCACCUGCUUUGUGAGUAUUCAUUUUCUAUUUUUAAAUUUUGCAUCAACCUUGUGAGGUUUUUGGUAUGUUUAUCUCCAUUAUACAGAUGAGGCUGCUGAGGCUAAGAGAAGUCAAGUAAUUUGCCCAAGGUCAUAUUGGUAGUUAAUAGAACUAGGACAGAUUCCAGGGUUGUGGUUUGAAUCAGGGGUUGGCAAACUAUCUGGCCCACUGCCUGUUUUUGUGUGGCUUGCAAGCAAAAAAAAAGAUGUUUACAUUUUUUAAUUGUUCAAGAAAAUCAAAAGGAGAAUAAUAUUUUGUGACAAGUGUAAAUUACAUAAAAUUCAAAUUUCUAUGUCCAUGUAUUUAGUUUUAUUGGAACACAGCCAUGUCCAUCAUUUAUGUAUUGUUAAUGGCUGUUUUCAUACUACACAGCAGAGUUGAGUAGUUGUGACAGUGACCUUAUGCUCUUGAAAGCCUAAAAUAUUUGGUAAAUAGCCAUUUACAGAAAAAAGUGCCACCUCCCACUUGAACCAUUAUGCCUGCAUUUCUCAAACUUCAGCCAUUUGAAUUCUACUCCUUCAUGAUUCUUGCCACCUUUUCAUACCAUCUGGAACAUUAACUGUGUGACAUUUUUCUUUAGAUCAAUUAAUUUUCCUUAAAUAAAUUUAUUUUAUAAAGAAACAAAAAUGAAAGCGAAAACCAGUACCAAUUGCAAGAAAUAGAAGAAAACUGUAAAAACAAAUACAAUAUACCAAGAACAGUGUAUUCAUAUUAGAUUUCAGCUAAAUAGCUGGAACAGACAAUGUUGGUGUUGCUUCAUUUCCCUGCAGAUCCCCUGACCAUUUCUCUGUAAGCCAUCAGACUUCCAAUGAUGGACCUGAAACAUUUUUGGAGGGCUGCUCUCAGUCUACUGGAAUCCCCUUUGCACACAAGCACAAUAAAUUGGGGGUGCCUGAGAAUCCAAGUUCCACUGUGGAUAGCUCUAACCAACAAAUUGUGGGUGCGGGAGUAUCCACAUCCCACCUUCCUAUCCCCU
ensembl:lncRNA novel transcript